GCCAGGUGUGGUGGUGCAUGCCUAUUGUCCCAGUUACUUGGGAGGCUGAGGCAGGAGGAUCACUUGAGCCCAGGAGUUCUGGACUACAGUGUGCUAUGCCGAUCGGGUGUCUGCAGUAAGUUAGGCACCAAAUGGUGACCUCCUGGGAGCAUGGGACUACCAGGUUGCCUAAGGAGGAGUGAAUUGGCUCAGAUCAGACAUGGAGCAGGUAAAAACUGCCCUGCUAAUCGGUAGAGGGAUCGCACCUGUGCAUAGUCACUGCAUGCCAGCCUGGGCAGCAUAGCAACACCCCGUCUCUA
ensembl:misc_RNA Metazoa_SRP Metazoan signal recognition particle RNA